CNUGCNAGUCGAGGGGUAACAGAGAAGCUUGCUUCUGCUGACGACCGGCGCACGGGUGCGUAACGCGUAUGCAACCUACCUCAUACUGGAGGAUAGCCCUUGGAAACGAGGAUUAAUACUCCAUAGUAUCACGAAUUCGCAUGUUUUUGUGAUUAAAGUUUUUCGGUAUGAGAUGGGCAUGCGUCCCAUUAGCUUGUUGGUGAGGUGACGGCUCACCAAGGCAACGAUGGGUAGGGGGCCUGAGAGGGUGGUCCCCCACACUGGUACUGAGACACGGACCAGACUCCUACGGGAGGCAGCAGUGAGGAAUAUUGGGCAAUGGAGGAAACUCUGACCCAGCCAUGCCGCGUGAAGGAUGACGGCCCUAUGGGUUGUAAACUUCUUUUAUAUGGGAAGAAACUUACCUACGUGUAGGUAACUGACGGUACCAUACGAAUAAGGAUCGGCUAACUCCGUGCCAGCAGCCGCGGUAAUACGGAGGAUCCAAGCGUUAUCCGGAUUCAUUGGGUUUAAAGGGUCCGUAGGCGGGUCUUUAAGUCAGUGGUGAAAGCCGACAGCUCAACUGUCGAACUGCCAUUGAUACUGGAGAUCUUGAGUACAAAUGAAGUAGGCGGAAUGAGUCAUGUAGCGGUGAAAUGCAUAGAUAUGACUCAGAACACCGAUUGCGAAGGCAGCUUACUAACAUGUAACUGACGCUGANGGACGAAAGCGUGGGGAGCGAACAGGANUAGAUACCCUGGUAGUCCACGCCGUAAACGAUCAUCACUCGCUGUUGGCNAUAUACUGUCAGCGGCCAAGCGAAAGUAUUAAGUGAUGCACCUGGGGNNUACGCCGGCNNCNGUGAAACUCAA
rnacentral:rRNA from 1 species